UACGUAGGGUGCGAGCGUUGUCCGGAAUCACUGGGCGUAAAGGGCGCGUAGGCGGCUCGUUAAGGGUGCGGUGAAAGCCCGGGGCUUAACCCCGGGUCGGCCGUGCCGACUGAUGAGCUCGAGCACUGUAGAGGCAGGUGGAAUUCCGGGUGUAGCGGUGGAAUGCGUAGAGAUCCGGAAGAACACCAGUGGCGAAGGCGGCCUGCUGGGCAGUGGCUGACGCUGAGGCGCGACAGCGUGGGGAGCAAACAGG
rnacentral:rRNA from 1 species